AUGGCAAAUCUGUUCUGGGAUCCCGUCCAGGGAGAGCCCAACCAUGCGUGUGGGCUUGCAGGGGAUGACACAAACCAGAGGCAGAACGUGGAAUGGAUUCAGGCUUACGAUAAGAAGAGAGUUGAAAAGACCAGGACACUGAACAACCUUUGUUGGUGUGCUUUUCUCUUCGAGGCCACUCUCAGGUGCUCAGCUCUCCCUGUGCUGGGAAAGAGCAGUGAAUGCAGCAAAUGCCCUGGGGUCUCCAGGAUCACCAACCCAGCAGCAGGGCUGACAUCCCUGGUAGUGAAGAUGCUGCCCUGCCUGUGCUACCUGGGAGAGCAGAAAGACAGCAGAAUACACUUUCACAAGGGUCCUCUGUCAAAACAAGCAAAACGAAUGAACAAGAAAGUCGAGACCUGGCAUGCAAAAUUCCCGUGCUCCAAACCCAUGCAGGUAUCAAAGGGAAAGAGAGGAAAUUCAGGCCGAGAAGGAGGGGUGAGGAAAGCUUUGAUUUCGGAAAGUUGCACUGGGGGGCUGACGAAGGAAUGA
rnacentral:lncRNA from 1 species